AAUAUUCAUAUGCUUGAAGUAUUGUAAAGUAUAGUCCUAAUAACACUGUGAAGAAUAAUCCUUGUAGUGCUUGAGCACAUCAUAGUUUAAUGGAAUCUAAUCAUACUCAAGCACUACAAGGAUUAUUCUUCACAGUGUUAUUAGGACUAUACUUUACAAUACUUCAAGCAUAUGAAUAUUGAGAAGCACCUUUUACCAUUGCAGAUGCAGUUUAUGGAUCAACAUUCUUUGUUGCAACAGGAUUCCAUGGUUUACACGUAAUUAUUGGAACAAUCUUUUUAUCAACAUGUCUACUUCGACACUCAAUAAAUCAAUUUUCACCAAGACAUCACUCUGGAUUUGAAGCAGCAGCAUGAUACUGACACUUCGUAGACGUAGUAUGAUUAUUCUUAUAUAUCUCUAUUUAUUGAUGAGGUAGAUAAUU